AUUGAACGCUGGCGGCAGGCCUAACACAUGCAAGUCGAGCGGUAGCACAGAGAGCUUGCUCUCGGGUGACGAGCGGCGGACGGGUGAGUAAUGUCUGGGAAACUGCCUGAUGGAGGGGGAUAACUACUGGAAACGGUAGCUAAUACCGCAUAACGUCGCAAGACCAAAGUGGGGGACCUUCGGGCCUCAUGCCAUCAGAUGUGCCCAGAUGGGAUUAGCUAGUAGGUGGGGUAAUGGCUCACCUAGGCGACGAUCCCUAGCUGGUCUGAGAGGAUGACCAGCCACACUGGAACUGAGACACGGUCCAGACUCCUACGGGAGGCAGCAGUGGGGAAUAUUGCACAAUGGGCGCAAGCCUGAUGCAGCCAUGCCGCGUGUAUGAAGAAGGCCUUCGGGUUGUAAAGUACUUUCAGCGAGGAGGAAGGCGUUAAGGUUAAUAACCUUAGCGAUUGACGUUACUCGCAGAAGAAGCACCGGCUAACUCCGUGCCAGCAGCCGCGGUAAUACGGAGGGUGCAAGCGUUAAUCGGAAUUACUGGGCGUAAAGCGCACGCAGGCGGUCUGUCAAGUCGGAUGUGAAAUCCCCGGGCUCAACCUGGGAACUGCAUUCGAAACUGGCAGGCUAGAGUCUUGUAGAGGGGGGUAGAAUUCCAGGUGUAGCGGUGAAAUGCGUAGAGAUCUGGAGGAAUACCGGUGGCGAAGGCGGCCCCCUGGACAAAGACUGACGCUCAGGUGCGAAAGCGUGGGGAGCAAACAGGAUUAGAUACCCUGGUAGUCCACGCCGUAAACGAUGUCGACUUGGAGGUUGUGCCCUUGAGGCGUGGCUUCCGGAGCUAACGCGUUAAGUCGACCGCCUGGGGAGUACGGCCGCAAGGUUAAAACUCAAAUGAAUUGACGGGGGCCCGCACAAGCGGUGGAGCAUGUGGUUUAAUUCGAUGCAACGCGAAGAACCUUACCUACUCUUGACAUCCAGAGAACUUAGCAGAGAUGCUUUGGUGCCUUCGGGAACUCUGAGACAGGUGCUGCAUGGCUGUCGUCAGCUCGUGUUGUGAAAUGUUGGGUUAAGUCCCGCAACGAGCGCAACCCUUAUCCUUUGUUGCCAGCGGUUCGG
rnacentral:rRNA from 1 species